CAGAGGGUGCAAACGUUGCUCGGAAUUACUGGGCGUAAAGCGCGUGUAGGCGGUCACGCAAGUCAGGUGUGAAAGCCCAGGGCUCAACCCUGGAAGUGCACAUGAUACUACGUGGCUGGAGUACUGAAGAGGAGAGCGGAAUUCCCGGUGUAGAGGUGAAAUUCGUAGAUAUCGGGAGGAACACCAGUGGCGAAGGCGGCUCUCUGGGCAGAUACUGACGCUGAGACGCGAAAGCGUGGGUAGCAAACAGGAUUAGAUACCCUGGUAGUCCACGCUGUAAACGAUGAGAACUGGGUGUCGUGGGUAUUGACCCCCGCGGUGCCGAAGCCAACGCGUUAAGUUCUACCGCCUGGGAAGUACGGCCGCAAGGCUA
rnacentral:rRNA from 1 species